rnacentral:rRNA from 1 species
GAUGAACGCUGGCGGCGUGCUUAACACAUGCAAGUCGAACGGUGAAGCAGAGCUUUUUUUGUGUGUCAGUGGCGAACGGGGGAGUAACACGUGAGCAACAUGCCCCCGACUCUGUGAUAAGCCCUGAAAACACCGGCUAUUACUGCGGAUAGGCUCCGACGGUAUGUUGAGGAGUUGGAAAGAUUUUUCGGUCUGGGAUGGGCUCACGGGCUAUCAGCUUGUUGGUGUGGUAAUGGCUUACCAAGGCGUUGACGGGUAGCCGGCCUGAGAGGGUGACCGGCCACACUGGGACUGAGACACGGCCCAGACUCCUACGGGAGGCAGCAGUGGGGAAUAUUGCACAAUGGGCGAAAGCCUGAUGCAGCAACGCCGCGUGAGGGAUGACGGCCUUCGGGUUGUAAACCUCUUUUGGCUGGGAAGAAGCGAGAGUGACGGUACCUGGAGAAGAAGCGCCGGCUAACUACGUG